rnacentral:rRNA from 1 species
GACGAACGCUGGCGGCGUGCUUAACACAUGCCAGUCGAACGGAAAGGCCCUGCUUUUGUGGGGUGCUCGAGUGGCGAACGGGUGAGUAACACGUGAGUAACCUGCCCUUGACUUUGGGAUAACUUCAGGAAACUGGGGCUAAUACCGGAUAGGAGCUCCUGCUGCAUGGUGGGGGUUGGAAAGUUUCGGCGGUUGGGGAUGGACUCGCGGCUUAUCAGCUUGUUGGUGGGGUAGUGGCUUACCAAGGCUUUGACGGGUAGCCGGCCUGAGAGGGGGACCGGCCACAUUGGGAGUGAGAUACGGACCAGACUCCUACGGGAGGCAGCAGUGGGGAAUAUUGCACAAUGAGCGGGAGCCUGAUGCAGCAACGCCGCGUGCGGGAUGACGGCCUUCGGGUUGUAAACCGCUUUCGCCUGUGACGAAGCGUGAGUGACGGUAAUAGGUAAAGAAGCACCGGCUAACUACGUG